rnacentral:lncRNA from 1 species
CGACAGCAGGGACUGGUGGAAUCCCGAUGUGGCUGAGGGGCCGCCACCGCCAGCAGGGAGGCGGAGGGCUAGCGAGCCAAGCGCAGGCAUGAAGACCCCCAACGCACAGGAAGCCGAAGGGCAACAAACCAGGGCAGCUGCAGGACGGGCCACUGGGUCUGCAAACAUGACAAAGAAAAAAGUCUCCCAAAAGAAGCAGAGAGGCCGACCUUCAUCCCAGCCCCGCAGGAACAUCGUGGGCUGCAGAAUUUCUCAUGGAUGGAAGGAAGGAGAUGAGCCCAUCACGCAGUGGAAAGGAACCGUUCUGGAUCAGCUGCCUGAAACCACAGGUGGUUCCGACAAAUAAUCCACUAAAAGAGGCCUGCUGUCCCAAGAAUCCACAUUCUGGUUAGACCUUCCCCACAAAGCUGGUGUCUGCAGACCCCUCACAGGCACCUGUUGGCCAGUCUUGCCUACCCCAGCUCACAGAGACCUGUGAUGGAAUUCUGGUCAGCUCUUUGUUUCCAGGUGAGGCAGAUGCCAUGGGGC